rnacentral:rRNA from 1 species
UACAGAGGUCCCAAGCGUUGUUCGGAUUCAUUGGGCGUAAAGGGUGCGUAGGUGGCGCUGUAAGUCGGGUGUGAAAUUUCGGAGCUUAACUCCGAAACUGCAUUCGAUACUGCGGUGCUUGAGGACUGGAGAGGAGACUGGAAUUCAUGGUGUAGCAGUGAAAUGCGUAGAUAUCAUAAGGAAGACCAGUGGCGAAGGCGGGUCUCUGGACAGCUCCUGACACUGAGACACGAAGGCCAGGGGAGCAAACGGG